rnacentral:rRNA from 1 species
GAUGAACGCUGGCGGCGUGCCUAAUACAUGCAAGUCGAGCGAACGGACGAGAAGCUUGCUACUCUGAUGUUAGCGGCGUACGUGUGAGUAACACGUGGAUAACCUACCUAUAAGACUGGGAUAACUUCGUGAAACCGUAGCUAAUACCGUAUUAUAUUUUCAACCGCAUGGUUCAAAAGUUACAGACGGUCUUGCUGUCACUUCUAGCUGUAUCCGCGCUGCAUUAGCUAGUUGGUAAGGUAACGGCUUACCAAGGCAACGAUGCAUAGCCGACCUGAGAGGGUGAUGGGCCACAAUGGGACUGAGAGACGGUCCAGAGUCCUACGGGAGGCAGAAGUAGGGAAGCGUGCGAAAUGGGCGAAAGACUGAAGGAGCAACGCAGGGUGAGUGAUGAAGGGCUUCGGAUCGGAAAACUCUGUUAUUAGGGAAGAACAUAUGUGUAAGUAACUGUGCACAUCGUGACGGUACCUAAUCAGAAAGCCACGGCUAACUACGUG